rnacentral:rRNA from 1 species
UACGAAGGGGGCUAGCGUUGCUCGGAAUUACUGGGCGUAAAGGGCGCGUAGGCGGCUUGGCAAGUGGAUGGUGAAAUCCCUCGGCUUAACCGAGGAACUGCCGUCCAAACUGCUUUGCUUGAGACCGGGAGAGGUGAGUGGAAUUCCCAGUGUAGCGGUGAAAUGCGUAGAUAUUGGGAGGAACACCAGUGGCGAAGGCGGCUCACUGGACCGGUACUGACGCUGAGGCGCGAAAGCGUGGGGAGCAAACGGG